AGAAUCAACGCUGGCGGCGUGCCUCAGACAUGCAAGUCGAACGAUUAAAGCUCUCUUCGGAGAGUGUAUAGAGUGGCGCACGGGUGAGUAACACGUAAGUAAUCUACCCUCGAGUGGGGAAUAACGUCCGGAAACGGACGCUAAUACCGCAUAAUGCAGCGGCACCGCAAGGUGACAGUUGUUAAAGAUUUAUCGCUUGAGGAGGAGCUUGCGGCAGAUUAGCUAGUUGUAAGGUAAUGGCUACAAGGCUACGAUCUGUAACCGUACAAGAGGACGGUCGGUACACACUGACACUAGAAGUAACGGGUCAGUACUCCG
rnacentral:rRNA from 1 species